GAUGAACGCUAGCGGCAGGCUUAACACAUGCAAGUCGAGGGGUAUUUAUCUUCGGAUAGAGAGACCGGCGCACGGGUGCGUAACGCGUAUGCAAUCUACCUUUUACAGAGGGAUAGACCAGAGAAAUUUGGAUUAAUACCUCAUAGUAUAUAGACUCGGCAUCGAGAUUAUAUUAAAGUUACAACGGUAAAAGAUGAGCAUGCGUCGCAUUAGAUAGUUGGUAGGGUAACGGCCUACCAAGGCUACGAUCGGUAGCUGUUCUGAGAGGAAGAUCCCCCACAGUGGGACUGAGACACGGCCCAAACUCCGACGGGAGGCAGCAGUGGGGAAUAUUGGACAAUGGGCGCAAGCCUGAUCCAGCCAUGCCGCGUGAGUGAUGAAGGCCCUAGGGUUGUAAAGCUCUUUCAGUGGGGACGAUAAUGACGGUACCGACAGAAGAAGCCCCGGCUAACUUCGUG
rnacentral:rRNA from 1 species